ACACGACUACAUUAGAUACCCGUGUAGUCCUAGCCGUAAACGAUACUCGCUAGGUGUCGGCCACGGUGCGACCGUUGUCGGUGCCGCAGGGAAGCCGUGAAGCGAGCCACCUGGGAAGUACGGCCGCAAGGCUGAACUUAAGGAAUUGCGGGGAGCACAACAACGGGUGGAGCUUGCGGUUUAAUUGGAUUCAACGCCGGAAAUCUUACCGGGACCGACAGCAACAUGAAGGCCAAGCUGAAGACUUUGCCGGAUUAGCUG
rnacentral:rRNA from 1 species